rnacentral:lncRNA from 1 species
GGGUAAUCGCCUCUCUCCAAGAAGAAUAAGACUCCAAUAUUGUAACAAAAGAAAUAUCAAUUUAGAGGAGGGUAAUCCGCAACCUCUAAAAUGCUAGUAUACUUCCAAGCAGAGGAGUAAUCCGCACUCUAACAAGGAAGAAACUAACUCUGAUAUCUGAGGUGAGUGAAGUCUCGACAAACUGUCACGGACACAGAAAUACACACUCGAGAUCUAACAAGAAGUUCAAGAAGAACUGGCAAGAACUAGAUUAAUCAGAUGAAUACAAGAACAACACCAGAGAGGUGAGCUAGAGCUCUAAGAGAUGUG